AUUAUACUCCCUCCGUCCGAAAAUACUUGUCAUCAAAAUGGACAAAAAAGGGAUGUAUCUAAAACUAAAAUACAUCUAGAUACAUCCCUUUUAUCCAUUUUGAUGACAAGUAUUUCCGGACAGAGGGAGUAUAUA
rnacentral:pre_miRNA from 1 species